UACGUAGGAGGCAAGCGUUGUCCGGAGUUACUGGGCGUAAAGCGUGUGUAGGCGGUCGGAUGCGUCCGGUGUGAAAUCUCCCGGCUUACCUGGGAGGGGGCAUCGGAUACGGUCGGACUUGAGGGCAUCAGAGGCCAGUAGAACUCCCGGUGGACCAGUGAAAUGGGUAGAGAUCGGGAAGAACACCAACGGCGAAAGCACUCUGCUGGGCCGACACUGACACUGAGAGACGAAAGCUAGGGGAGCGAAUGGG
rnacentral:rRNA from 1 species